AUUGAACGCUGGCGGCAGGCUUAACACAUGCAAGUCGAGCGGGGGAAGGUAGCUUGCUACUGGACCUAGCGGCGGACGGGUGAGUAAUGCUUAGGAAUCUGCCUAUUAGUGGGGGACAACAUCUCGAGAGGGAUGCUAAUACCGCAUACGUCCUACGGGAGAAAGCAGGGGAUCUUCGGACCUUGCGCUAAUAGAUGAGCCUAAGUCGGAUUAGCUAGUUGGUGGGGUAAAGGCCUACCAAGGCGACGAUCUGUAGCGGGUCUGAGAGGAUGAUCCGCAACACUGGGACUGAGACACGGCCCAGACUCCUACGGGAGGCAGCAGUGGGGAAUAUUGGACAAUGGGGGGAACCCUGAUCCAGCCAUGCCGCGUGUGUGAAGAAGGCCUUAUGGUUGUAAAGCACUUUAAGCGAGGAGGAGGCUACUCUAGUUAAUACCUAGGGAUAGUGGACGUUACUCGCAGAAUAAGCACCGGCUAACUCUGUGCCAGCCGCCGCGGUAA
rnacentral:rRNA from 1 species